AUCCUAACAGCCAGCCAAAGAGUUAUCCAAGGAAUGCUCCAGGGGCAGGUCUGAGAGAGGAAAACUACAACGUAAAUGCUACUUGGAAAGAGCUUUUCUAAAAAAUAAAUUAUGGAUAUUGUUUGCUAGCAUGAUAAAGAAUGCAUCAUCUCAGCCACCAUCAUGUCUCUUUUCAAGACCUUCCAUGAUUUUAUCCAGAGGUGCUUCUCUUUUUAGAAGCUUGUGUUAUGAAUAUUCCAUCUCCAUUUGGACAAAGACAAACCUAAAAUGAUUUUAUUCAAAUCUUUUAUUUUGGCUUAGAUUGACAGGCUUCCUCUGUGCAUUUUUUUUUUCCCACAGAUCCAAGCCAGCGGUGAAUAAUUUAGGUUCAAUUUUGCAGGAAACUUCCUACACAUGGCUACACCCACAGCCCUGUAUGGAGCAGCAUAUGCAGAGAUUUGGAACUGAAAAUUCACUUUACACACUUCAAAAUCAUUUGCAUGUUUUUCCUGCUGCCACAAGAGGCCAGUGAUUCUAUAAUUUCUAGUCUCCAGUGUUUCACCAACACUGUACUGACAUGGCUCCGCAGGCACAUAUGUUAGACACCAUCUGGAGGCUAAAAAUCAUAACUACAGACUGGUUUCCUGAACAUCCUGAAACCUGUCAGAUAGGAGCUGUGCACAGCUUAAUAGUAACUUAAGAUCAAGACUCAACCAUCUCUUCACUCAUCGUUUGUGAAUGCACCAUUCACGAGGUAUCUCUGGCUACAGAAGCAGGGAGGAACAGCCCACACACCCGCAGUAAUGGCAGAAUGUGGAAAUCUCCAUCUUGCCAAAGCUGUUGUAUUUUCACAUUUUCAGAAACGCUCAGCAUCCAGCAUUUCCCACUGUCACUUACGGACAGCCUAAGAAUCCCACUCCCAUCCAACAGUAAACAUGGAGCUGGUUUAUCUGCUAGCCCUGAUAAAGCUCAGGAUAUUAAACAAGAUGUCAUGUCACACUGCAAAAAGGAAAGAAAUAAAUACCAACACAACUAGAAGUUGGCAAAACUUUUAGGCUAUGAGAAGGCAUCAGAUACAGGCAAAGAGAAGGAAAGGAAAUGUGUCUGAAUAUAUCCCAUCUUUCUGUUGCUUCCUACUUCUCCACAAAGCACAGAGUGCUAUAUAAAGAGUCAGGAACACUAACCCAGCUCCCAGGAUCUGCAUGGCACCGACUGCCAGCACAGGAGCAGUGUUCAUCAGCCGUGCUCAUCACAACACCACCACUGGCAUUCAUCACCCACAGCAAGCUCUCCCCCUGAAAUGAAGAAAAAUGUGGUCCUCAAGGAACCGAGAUUAGAUAACUUUUUAAGGAUGUUUCUAAAUUAUCAAGAAAAUAAAAAUAAAAGAAUUGACA
rnacentral:lncRNA from 1 species